UACGGGGGGGGCAAGCGUUGUUCGGAAUUACUGGGCGUAAAGGGCUCGUAGGCGGCCAACUAAGUCAGACGUGAAAUCCCUCGGCUUAACCGGGGAACUGCAUCUGAUACUGGAUGGCUUGAGUUCGGGAGAGGGAUGCGGAAUUCCAGGUGUAGUGGUGAAAUGCGUAGAUAUCUGGAGGAACACCGGUGGCGAAGGCGGCAUCCUGGACCGACACUGACGCUGAGGAGCGAAAGCCAGGGGAGCAAACGGG
rnacentral:rRNA from 1 species